rnacentral:rRNA from 1 species
AUCGAACGCUGGCGGCAGGCCUAACACAUGCAAGUCGAACGAGUGGCGGACGGGUGAGUAAUGUCUGGGAACCUGCCUGCCGGACGGGUCUAACUAAUGGAAACGGUAGCUAAUAACGCAUACAUCCGGAUGGGCCCAGGUGGGAUUAGCUAGGAGGUGGGGUAAAGGCUCAUCUAGGCGACGAUGCCUAGCUGGUCCGAGAGGAUGAUCGGCCACACUGGAACUGAGACACGGUCCAGACUCCUACGGGAGGCAGCAGUGGGGAAUAUUGCACAAUGGGCGCAAGCCUGAUGCAGCCAUGCCGCGUGAAUGAAGAAGGCCUUCGGGUUGUAAAGUUCUUUCGGCGGGGAGGCGUUACCCGCAGAAGAAGCACCGGCUAACUACGUGCCAGCAGCCGCGGUAAUUC